rnacentral:rRNA from 1 species
GACGAACGCUGGCGGCGUGCUUAACACAUGCAAGUCGAACGGAAAGGCCCUGCUUUUGUGGGGUGCUCGAGUGGCGAACGGGUGAGUAACACGUGAGUAACCUGCCCUUGACUUUGGGAUAACUUCAGGAAACUGGGGCUAAUACCGGAUAGGAGCUCCUGCUGCAUGGUGGGGGUUGGAAAGUUUCGGCGGUUGGGGAUGGACUCGCGGCUUAUCAGCUUGUUGGUGGGGUAGUGGCUUACCAAGGCUUUGACGGGUAGCCGGCCUGAGAGGGUGACCGGCCACAUUGGGACUGAGAUACGGCCCAGACUCCUACGGGAGGCAGCAGCGGGGAAUAUUGCACAAUGGGCGGAAGCCUGAUGCAGCAACGCCGCGUGCGGGAUGACGGCCUUCGGGUUGUAAACCGCUUUCGCCUGUGACGAAGCGUGAGUGACGGUAAUGGGUAAAGAAGCACCAGCUAACUACGUG